rnacentral:tRNA from 17 species
GUCUAGUGGCCUAGGACACCGCCCUUUCACGGCGGUAACAGGGGUUCGAACCCCCU